rnacentral:misc_RNA from 1 species
AGCAGCCGCGGUAAUUCCAGCUCCAAUAGCGUAUAUUAAAGUUGUUGCAGUUAAAAAGCUCGUAGUUGAAUUUCGGGAUCAAUAUGUUGGUCGUGCCUCGGUACGUACUAGCAUAUUGGUUUCUCCUUUCUGAAGAACCAUGAUGUCAUUCAUUUGGUGUCGUGGGGAAUCAGGACUGUUACUUUGAAAAAAGUUAGAGUGUUUAAAGCAGGCUCACGCUUGAAUACAUAGCAUGGAAUAAUGAAAUAGGACGUUUGAUUCUAUUUUGUUGGUUUCUAGGAUCGACGUAAUGAUUAAUAGGGAUAGUUGGGGGCAUUAGUAUUCAAUUGUCAGAGGUGAAAUUCUUGGAUUUAUUGAAGACUAACUACUGCGAAAGCAUUUGCCAAGGAUGUUUUCAUUAAUCAAGAACGAAAGUUAGGGGUAUCGAAGACGAUCAGGAUACCGUCGUAGUCUUAACCAUAAACUAUGCCGACUAGGGAUCGGAUGAUG